GGAGGAAAAGAAACUAACAAGGAUUCCCCUAGUAACGGCGAGUGAACCGGGAUGAGCUCAAAUUUGAAAUCUGGCGUCCUCAGGGCGUCCGAGUUGUAAUCUAUAGAGGCGUUUUCCGUGCCGGACCGUGUCCAAGUCCCUUGGAACAGGGUAUCAAAGAGGGUGACAAUCCCGUACUUGACACGACGACCGGUGCUCUGUGAUACGUCUUCUACGAGUCGAGUUGUUUGGGAAUGCAGCUCAAAAUGGGUGGUGAGUUCCAUCUAAAGCUAAAUAUUGGCGAGAGACCGAUAGCGAACAAGUACCGUGAGGGAAAGAUGAAAAGCACUUUGGAAAGAGAGUUAAACAGUACGUGAAAUUGUUGAAAGGGAAACGAUUGAAGUCAGUCGUGACUGUUGGGCUCAGCAGGUUCUGCCUGUGUAUUCCCCUCAGUCGGGUCAACAUCAGUUUUGACCGGUGGAUAAGGGCAGCAGGAAUGUGGCACCUCCGGGUGUGUUAUAGCCUGUCGUCGCAUACAUCGGUCGAGACUGAGGAACGCAGCUCGCCCUUGAGGCCGGGGUUCGCCCACGUCCGAGCUUAGGAUGUUAGACAU
rnacentral:rRNA from 1 species